rnacentral:misc_RNA from 1 species
GAUGAAGAACGUAGCGAAAUGCGAUAAGUAGUGUGAAUUGCAGAAUUCAGUGAAUCAUCGAAUCUUUGAACGCACAUUGCGCCCCCUGGCAUUCCGGGGGGCAUGCCUGUCCGAGCGUCAUUACAACCCUCAAGCUCAGCUUGGUGUUGGGCCCCGCCGCCCCGGCGGGCCCUAAAGUCAGUGGCGGUGCCGUCCGGCUCCGAGCGUAGUAAUUCUUCUCGCUCUGGAGGUCCGGUCGCGUGCUCGCCAGCAACCCCCAAUUUUUUUCAGGUUGACCUCGGAUCAGGUAGGGAUACCCGCUGAACUUAAGCAUAUCAAUAAGCGGAGGA